CCUACGGGAGGCAGCAGUGGGGAAUAUUGGUCAAUGGGGGGAACCCUGAACCAGCAACGCCGCGUGGAGGAUGAAGGAUUUCGGAAUGUAAAACUCUUUUAGUAGAGAAGAAAAUGACGGUACCUGACGAAUAAGCACCGGCUAACUCCGUGACAGCAGCCGCGGUAAUACGGAGGGUGCAAGCGUUAUCCGGAUUUACUGGGCGUAAAGGGGGCGUAGGCGGUGUAGAAAGUCAGAUGUGAAAUCUCGGGGCUUAACCCCGGAACUGCCUUUGAAACUGUUGAACUAGAGUAUAGGAGAGGUAGGCGGAAUGCAUGGUGUAGCGGUGAAAUGCGUAGAGAUCA
rnacentral:rRNA from 1 species